AACAAGUAUUAAAGGCAACGCCUGCCCAGUGAAUAAUUAAACGGCCGCGGUACCCUAACCGUGCAAAGGUAGCAUAAUCAUUUGUCUAUUAACUGUAGACCCGUAUGAAAGGCAAAAUGAGAGUCAAGCUGUCUCUUAUAAUAAAUCUAUAAAACUGAUCUCCUAGUAAAAAAGCUAGGAUGAUAACAUAAGACCAGAAGACCCUGUGAAGCUUAAAUCAAACUAUUAAACCAAAUAAUAAUUACUUUCGGUUGGGGCGACCUUGGAAAUAAAAAGAACUUCCAACUACCAAUACUUUAACAUUACACCAGGCCCACAAGCCAAUAAACGACCCAGUAAAACUGAUAAUUGAACAAAGUUACUCCAGGGAUAACAGCGCUAUCUUCUUCAAGAGCCCAUAUCAAAAAGAAGGUUUACGACCUCGAUGUUGGAUCAGGACAUCCUAAUGGUGCAACCGCUAUUAAAGGUUCGUUUGUUCAACGAUUAAUGUCCUACGUGAU
rnacentral:rRNA from 1 species